rnacentral:rRNA from 1 species
GACGACAAGGCCCUAAAAGCUUUAUUUAUCUUAUAAAUAAUAAAUAUAUAUAUAAGAAAUUUUUUACUGGGGUAGUAGUUUUGUUGAUUAAAAUUUGUUUAACUUUUGAUAAUUUACCCUUUAUAAAAGGGUUUAGUUAGUUACUUUAGGGAUAACAGCAUUAUAUCAUUGGAGAGAACGUAUCUAUAAUGAUGUUUGUGACCUCGAUGUUGAAUUAAUUUUUCUAUUUAAAGAAGAUUUUAUAAGAGAGGGUUUGUUCAACCUUUAAUUAAUUACAUGAUCUGAGU